UUUUUCAUUAAGGUGGUUCGAUUUCCAUACUAAUUUAUUUUUCCAUUUAUGGACAUCUAGGCCAUAAUUUCAUACUGAAAUCACAUCAGUUGGCACUUAAUCAGAUCUUUAUUUGCGCUAAAAUAUAUUUAUCUGAAGAAAACAAUAGAUUAAUAGCUAAAUGAGAUCGAAAUUUUUACUAAUUUUUGUCAAUGUAUGAGUAGAAGGCGAUAGUGUCGUACGCUACGUACGUUUUAGUGGUGUGCGUUUCCGCUGCUUUCGUGGAAGUAGAUGCUGCGUUGCCAGUUCGCUGAUAGUAAGUUGGCAAGCGCUGUUGCCGCUCUUCGUUUUACGUUUGACGCAAAAUUAAAACUAUUAGCUUCAUGAAUAGCUUUCGAUGCGUCCCGGUCAGGUGAUGCCAAACGUAAGAGUUUCCUAAGAAUUUAGGGAAAAAUUCCCUAAAAGUUUGAAAUCAUGAACUAUUAACGCAGUAAUAUACUAAGCCUAUUAUUAUGAUAAAUAUACUUGCUUUUAGUAGCAUAAAGUAGUUGUAAAACUUUUUGAUCGAUUUUACCGAAACCAAAUUUUAUGUCAAUUUAUAUACUUUUAAUACUAUUAUUUCAUUAAUAUAGCCUUAAAAUCAUACUGAGGUAUUUAUAAUGAAUCGUAGUAAUUAAAAUAAUUAAAAUAAAAUAAUUAAAAUAAAAAUUAAAAAAAAGCUCUGGGUGUAUGGCGCACCGCGCAUUAUUCAAUAUCUAGGCAAAAACUAUUUAGAGAUGGUAACCCUCUUAUUGUGAAUUGCCGAUUGCGCGACGCGGUGGUACCUCUAGUGUUUGUGAUUUACAAGUGAUAAAGUUUGAGUAUUUUUAUUGUAUUGUUGCUUGUUCAUGCAACAAAAAUAAAUUAUGGAGCCACGAACUUCACGCAAAGAUUAUCUGAAUCACCAUUACUCUGGCCCCCGGAAAAGUCGCAAACGAGUUCUUGGACAAAUGAAAAAAAGAUAUCAUGGAGAAAGCAAAAGUCGUAGUGAAGUGUGGUGCAAAAAGAAGGCAGAUAACAAUCCUAUUCCUGGAAGUUUUGUGUAUGUGGAACAUGAAUAAUCUUCAAAUAAUAGUAAUUGAUCCAUAAUACAUAGGUACUUAUAUAUAAAUAAUUGGUUGUUUGUACUAGUUGAUUACAAAUCAUUGUUUUUGAAUAUAUCCUUAUAUUCUAAACACAUCUGUUUAUUGAUUUCAGGGAUUAUAGAAGAAGAAGUCAAUUUUGGAAAUAAAGUGUUUUCCCUCAUUGGCUCGCAACAGUCAAGAUAUGUUUUCUGCUGCAAAAGAUUGUAAAAAUUUUCCUCUCUACAUUGAUAGUACUGGGAGGUUACAAAUGAAUAAAAAACACAAUUUCUAUUAUCAGAUCCAGGGCCAGCUGUGGGUUACAAAAAUGAACAAAUGCUACUUUGUUAGAUAUAUUUCUCCAACUUACGACAUCACUAUUUUAGAAAUAGAACGUGAUGAAGUUUUUAUGGGUAACAUGAUACCAAAACUAGAUAAUUUUUUUAAAAAUUGUGUAUUGCCUGAAGUAGUACUUCGGAGAGUCGGCAAUAAUCAAACUUGCUUAUACAUUUCAUUGUGUAAAUAAAAUCAAUAAAAAUAUUUGAAAAAUAAUCAACUGCAUACAUGCAACAUGUACUCUACGUUGAUAAGAACCACCCUUGUGUAAAUUUAACCUUUUCCCACAAAUGAAUUUGCCUGAAAAACCCUCAUGAAAUUUUCCACUACAUUUGUUGUAUCAUUCGAUAGCCGAUGGCAUUUCGCCAUGACCUUUGUCUCAUUUGCAGCACAUAUGAGGGCCCACACUGUGGGAGCUUUACUUUAGACUAGAAGAAUACAUUCUAAUGAGUCUGUGUCUUUUUCAUCACUGUUGACACAGAAUCUACAGUAAUAUGGUUUACAUUCUUUAUGGCAGCCAAACACAUGAGAUGGGUCAAUUUUUGAAUCCUUAUCCUAAAUCAAUAAAAAUAUUUUUCAAAUAUUUUUAUUGAUUUUAUUUACACAAUUGGCUCAAUUUUACUGUCCCAUUCGGUGUCGAGACCCUUGGUCCCUGGGGUCCUAGCGCUUCAAGCCUUUUUAGGGAAAUAUGAAAAAGGUUAGUCGACAUCACAAAAGGCCGAAGAGCUGGCAGCUACCUCUGACUAAGAAUUAGUCUAGCCAUUCAAAGGGGGAACGAUGCCAGUAUCUUUGGAACCUUGCCUAA